rnacentral:rRNA from 1 species
GUCCAGACUCCUACGGGAGGCAGCAGUGGGGGAUAUUGCACAAUGGGGGGAACCCUGAUGCAGCGACGCCGCGUGGGUGAAGAAGCGCCUCGGCGCGUAAAGCCCUGUCAGCAGGGAAGAAAAUGACGGUACCUGAAGAAGAAGCCCCGGCUAACUACGUGCCAGCAGCCGCGGUAAUACGUAGGGGGCAAGCGUUAUCCGGAUUCACUGGGUGUAAAGGGAGCGUAGACGGCGGCGCAAGUCUGGAGUGAAAGCCCGGGGCCCAACCCCGGGACUGCUCUGGAAACUGCGUCGCUGGAGUACGGGAGGGGCAGGCGGAAUUCCUGGUGUAGCGGUGAAAUGCGUAGAUAUCAGGAGGAACACCGGUGGCGAAGGCGGCCUGCUGGACUGCGACUGACGCUGAGGCGCGAAAGCGUGGGGAGCAAACAGGAUUAGAUACCCCAGUAAAC